rnacentral:rRNA from 1 species
CAGCCGCCGCGGUAAAACAGAGGGUGCAAGCGUUAAUCGGAAUUACUGGGCGUAAAGUGCGCGUAGGUGGUUUGUUAAGUUGGAUGUGAAAUCCCCGGGCUCAACCUGGGAACUGCAUCCAAAACUGGCAAGCUAGAGUAUGGUAGAGGGUGGUGGAAUUUCCUGUGUAGCGGUGAAAUGCGUAGAUAUAGGAAGGAACACCAGUGGCGAAGGCGACCACCUGGACUGAUACUGACACUGAGGUGCGAAAGCGUGGGGAGCAAACAGGAUUAGAUACCCCCGUAGUCCCUGUCUCUUAUAC